GUUUGAAUCAAUCAUAGCUGCUUUUAUCAACCAGUCACAGCCUUGCCUUUUAGUAUUUUGUAGUCAUUAGGACUUGUACUUGGGACCAAUUAUGGCCCUGUAUUAUACUCUAGUCUGAGGUGAAAUGAUUCAUAGGGUUAAUAAUCACUAAAUAUCUGGUACAAAUUGUUUCAAACAUGUGUCUUAAGUAUCCAGGUCUGUUGAAAUCUUUAUGAAUAGCUGCAAAGGAUGAAGAGGAAUGAGCUUGAUGUUGUGAAAACCAGGGUAAUAAAGCUGAAACACGGCAACAGUGUGUGGUCUUUCCUCAGAGUGCCUACCUGCUGGAGUAGAAGACCUCAAUGAUCACAGAUUUCUGCUUUUAAUGCUAUGGAGACACCAGGGCACUGUGGAGAUGAUAAAGGAAUAAUGAUGACAUGGCUAAUCCUGAGAUUCACAAGAGAAAAAAUAGUUUCACAACUUUGAACCAGAUUUGAAGCAAGGUUUAAUUAAAUAUUGACCAAGAUAGUCUUCGGUCAGGUCCACUCCCUGG
rnacentral:lncRNA from 1 species